rnacentral:rRNA from 1 species
GAAAGGGGUAGCAAUAUCCCGAGUAAACCGGCGAACGGGUGAGUAACACGUAAGCAACCUACCUCUGGGUCUGGGAUAACCCUGCUAACGCGGGGCUAACACCGGAUGAUGCAGCGGGCCCGCAUGGGUAUGUUGUUAAAGCUGCUCCGACUUGUCGGGGUGGUGCCUAGAGAUGGGCUUGUGGCCCAUUAGCUAGGUGGUAGGGUAAUGGCCUACCAAGGCGACGAUGGGUAGCCGGCCUGAGAGGGUAUCCGGCCACACUGGGACUGAGAUACGGCCCAGACUCCUACGGGAGGCAGCAGUGAGGAAUAUUGCGCAAUGGCCGAAAGGCUGACGCAGCAACGCCGCGUGGGCGAUGAAGCUCUAUGGAGUGUAAAGCCCUGUUAGGAGGAACGAAUCUUCCUAUUUUGAUAAACGAUAGGGAUUGACGGUACCUCCAGAGAAAGCUCCGGCCAACUCCGUGCCAGCAGCCGCGGUAAUACGGGGGGGGCGAGCGUUGUCCGGAAUCAUUGGGCGUAAAGGGCGCGUAGUGGAAAGAUAAGUCAGGGGUGAAAACCUGCAGCUUAACUGUAGGCCGGCCUCUGAAACUGGUUUUCUUGAGUGCGGAAGAGGGAGGUGGAAUUCCUGGUGUAGCGGUGAAAUGCGUAGAUAUCAGGAAGAACACCGGUAGCGAAGGCGGCCUCCUGGUCCGUAACUGACAUUGAGGCGCGAAAGCGUGGGGAGCAAACAGGAUUAGAUACCCUGGUAGUCCACGCUGUAAACGAUGGGCACUAGGUGUUGGCUCCGAUUCAUCGGAGUCAGUGCCGAAGCUAACGCAUUAAGUGCCCCGCCUGGGGAGUACGAUCGCAAGGUUGAAACUCAAAGGAAUUGACGGGGGCCCGCACAAGCGGUGGAGCAUGUGGUUUAAUUCGAUGCAACGCGAAGAACCUUACCUGGGCUUGAAGUGCAGUCGAAAACCCGAGAAAUCGGGUCUUCCUUCGGGACGGCUGCAGAGGUGCUGCAUGGCUGUCGUCAGCUCGUGCCGUGAGGUGUUGGGUUAAGUCCCGCAACGAGCGCAACCCUUGCCCUUAGUUGCCAUCAGGUCAUGCUGGGCACUCUAA